UNGGGCAUAAACUGUGCACUGAACUGUCUGC
rnacentral:piRNA from 1 species